UACGGAGGGUGCGAGCGUUAUCCGGAAUCACUGGGUUUAAAGGGUGCGUAGGCGGCGUUAUAAGUCAGAGGUGAAAGGCAUGAGCUUAACUGAUGAAUUGCCUUUGAUACUGUAAUGCUUGAAUUGUGUUGAGGUUAGCGGAAUGUGACAUGUAGCGGUGAAAUGCAUAGAUAUGUCAUAGAACACCAAUUGCGUAGGCAGCUAGCUAGGCAUUAAUUGACGCUGAGGCACGAAAGCGUGGGGAGCGAACAGG
rnacentral:rRNA from 1 species